rnacentral:rRNA from 1 species
AUUGAACGCUGGCGGCAUGCCUUACACAUGCAAGUCGAACGGCAGCAUGGAGAGCUUGCUCUCUGAUGGCGAGUGGCGAACGGGUGAGUAAUGCAUCGGAACGUACCGUGUAAUGGGGGAAAACGUAGCGAAAGUUACGCUAAUACCGCAUACGACCUGAGGGUGAAAGCAGGGGAUCGCAAGACCUUGCGUUAUACGAGCGGCCGAUGUCAGAUUAGCUAGUUGGUGAGGUAGAGGCUCACCAAGGCGACGAUCUGUAGCGGGUCUGAGAGGAUGGUCCGCCACACUGGGGCGGAGACACGGCCCAGACUCCUACGGGAGGCAGCAGUGGGGAAUUUUGGACAAUGGGGGCAACCCUGAUCCAGCCAUGCCGCGUGAGUGAAGAAGGCCUUCGGGUUGUAAAGCUCUUUCGGCCGGGAAGAAAUCGCACAGGCUAAUACUCUGUGUGGAUGACGGUACCGGCAUAAGAAGCACCGGCUAACUACGCGCCAGCCGCCGCAGUAA